rnacentral:rRNA from 1 species
CGCGUAGGCGGUUGAUUAAGUCAGCUGUGAAAGCCCCGGGCUCAACCUGGGAAUUGCAGUUGAUACUGGCCGACUAGAGUGCAGGAGAGGGAGGUAGAAUUCCACGUGUAGCGGUGAAAUGCGUAGAUAUGUGGAGGAAUACCGGUGGCGAAGGCGGCCUCCUGGCCUGACACCGACGCUGAGGUGCGAAAGCGUGGGGAGCAAACA